AAGAAAGAAGUUUAUAACUUAAGGAAUUAUAACAAAGAAGUAACACAUAAUAAGGUUGCCUUAUUUAGUGUGUAUCAAUCGAGUUUCUGACCUAUCAGCUUUUGAUGUUAGGGUAUUGGCCUAACAUGGCUAUGACGGGUAACGGGGAAUUAGAGUUCGAUUCCGGAGAGGGAGCCUGAGAAAUAGCUACCACAUCUAAGGAAGGCAGCAGGCGCGUAAAUUACCCAAUUCUAAAGAAGAGAGGUAGUGACAAGAAAUAACAAUACAAGGCCAUUUCAUGGUUUUGUAAUUGGAAUGAUGGGAAUUUAAAACCUUCCCAAAAUUCAAUUGGAGGGCAAGUCUGGUGCCAGCAGCCGCGGUAAUUCCAGCUCCAAUAGCGUAUAUUAAAAUUGUUGCAGUUAAAACGCUCGUAGUUGAAUUUCAAAGAAUCAAUAUUUUAAGUAAUAAUUUUGCUAUAAGAUGCUUAGACAAUACAACGUAUCUGUUCUUUGCAUUUCUUAUGCAAAAUAUGUUCUUAUUAUAAAAAGGAUUCUUUUUAAAAUCUCUUUUGCUAUUUUUUAGUAUUGGAGAUUUUGUUACUUUGAGUAAAUUAGAGUGUUCAAAGCAAACAGUUAAAGCAUUUUU
rnacentral:rRNA from 1 species